UGCAGGCGGCUGAGGAGUAUUAAUAAAGGGUGCCUGACCAGACAUUGCCGCUCACACUGCUCAUCUGGGGACGGGAAUAGCUUGCAAACACUAAUGAAGC